CAAGAAACAAGUGGUACACAAGCCCAUUGUUUCACUCUCAGUGAAACAUGGUGGUGGCAGCAUCACGCUUCAAGUCAUCACUGACCUCAUGGCUGCUAUGUGCUGUUGUGGCAUUUAAACAUUUAUGGUGUCUGGAGCUCUGUCAGCUGCUACAGCGAUCCACCCGAACUCCUCCUCUGUGGUAUGGAAACAUGACGUUCUCUUCAUUUCUUUAUACUGUAUUUAUUAGUUAUUUUUUAUUCAUGAAGGAAACGUCCUGGAUUUAAUGUGACUGUUUCCACUCUGAUUAGUUAAAAGCCUCACAAAUAAUGAAUGUCUUGAGUUCUGUGGCUGCAGCCAUCAUCAUCAUCAUGUUCUCAAUCUUCAUAAUAUUUGUGACUGAAUGCAGGUAUUACUAUCAUAGUGAUGUCAGCUAUACUGAUGUCACACUGUGUAACAUCACAGAUUCUGUUUCAGCUCCCAGGAACCACCAGCAACCACCAACACUCCCAUUCUCGUAGUCACCAGCCUCCUGAUUAUGAUCUGUGUUUAAUUAUAUACACAUAUAUGUUUGGUUUGCACUCUUUUGACCACCUCAGUUUCAGUUCCUCGUUGCGAUGUAUACG